CAGCCUCGGAGGGGUGGAGCUUCAUGCUGAGAAAUGGUUUGAGCGGCGCUGUGCGGGCUGCCUUUGCGAUGGGAAGAGCAGUUGAGGUGCCCCAGGUGAUGAUGGCUGCAGCAUUGGAUGUUUGAAUUGGGACGGAACAGAUGAUAAUCAAGAGGAACCUGGCAAUGCAGGAUCGUCCCAGUUAGCUGACUCGUUUUGAGCUUUUUCUGCCAGGGAUGGCUUCAGGCCUUUGGCCCUCUGAAAGUUAAGUUGAGGGGGUUGUGUUUUGGCGUUGGGAAGAAGGCAGAAUGUUGAGAAUGGCAGAGAAGGGAUUUAGCACAUGGUAGAGGGCUGUGCUGGAAGAGUAACCUUUUGUGCAGGUAUAGGGAGGGGUUCAAUCCUCAGCGCAGAGCUAGCGUGUGCC